CUAUACUGCAGUCGAGCGAAUGAUGAGGAGCUUGCUCCUCUGAUUUAGCGGCGGACGGGUGAGUAACACGUGGGUAAUCUGCCUGUAAGACGGGGAUAACUCCGGGAAACCGGGGCUAAUACCGGAUAACAAAAGGAAAUGCAUGUUUCCUUUUUGAAAGUCGGUUUCGGCUGACACUUACAGAUGAGCCCGCGGCGCAUUAGCUAGUUGGUGAGGUAACGGCUCACCAAGGCGACGAUGCGUAGCCGACCUGAGAGGGUGAUCGGCCACACUGGGACUGAGACACGGCCCAGACUCCUACGGGAGGCAGCAGUAGGGAAUCUUCGGCAAUGGGCGAAAGCCUGACCGAGCAACGCCGCGUGAGCGAUGAAGGCCUUCGGGUCGUAAAGCUCUGUUGUUAGAGAAGAACAAGUACGAGAGUAACUGCUCGUACCUUGACGGUACCUAACCAGAAAGCCACGGCUAACUACGUGCCAGCAGCCGCGGUAAUACGUAGGUGGCAAGCGUUAUCCGGAAUUAUUGGGCGUAAAGCGCGCGCAGGCGGUCUCUUAAGUCUGAUGUGAAAGCCCACGGCUCAACCGUGGAGGGUCAUUGGAAACUGGGAGACUUGAGUGCAGGAGAGAAAAGUGGAAUUCCACGUGUAGCGGUGAAAUGCGUAGAGAUGUGGAGGAACACCAGUGGCGAAGGCGGCUUUUUGGCCUGUAACUGACGCUGAGGCGCGAAAGCGUGGGGAGCAAACAGGAUUAGAUACCCUGGUAGUCCACGCCGUAAACGAUGAGUGCUAGGUGUUGGGGGGUUCCACCCUCAGUGCUGAAGUUAACACAUUAAGCACUCCGCCUGGGGAGUACGACCGCAAGGUUGAAACUCAAAGGAAUUGACGGGGGCCC
rnacentral:rRNA from 1 species